GCUAGGUUUCAGGGUACAGCCUAAGAAUAAAAGAACGUACCUUUAGAUUGGAGACGAGGAGAAUUUUUUUUAGCCAGAGGUGGGUGAAUCUAUUUAAUUAAUUGCCACAAACGGUUGUGGAGACCAAGUCAUUGGGUAUUUUUAAAGCAGAGAUUGAUAGGUUCUUGAUCAAUAAGGGCAUCAACGAAUAUAUGAAAAAGGCAU